AAUGGAUAAGAUUAGACUUGGCUGAUGCAGGAUGGCGAAAGAAAAGACUGUAGCAUCGGGUCUCAAUCACAGCACUGGCUACGUUUUCCUGUCUUCAACCACCACCAAAUCAUUACUCAUCUGCAGAUGUCAGGCAUCUGCCAUGACGGACGAUCUGAAUCUGCCACAUCAAGUCAAGUUCACACGCCUGUGGAGGCACAGCAACAGGGCAAGCCAUCAGUGUCAGAUUGCCAAGUUCCUGCAGAUGGAUGUGAACUCCCUUUGUCUGCAAGAAUGACAAAGGCAUCUCACAACAGCUCGACCUUGUCAGUAUCAUCUUUUGUUCUGAAGAAGCUCGAGUGACAGCUGCAGGUGAAGAAGAAAGGAGGCUGUGGUGCGAUGUUGAUACUGGAACUGGGCAUCUGGGUCAUCCCCCUCACCCUCAUUUUUGCGCCGUGCAGGCGACUCGUUCAUCUGGUUGCAGAGCUUCAACGUGUUGGCGAGUCCAUGAUGGGCCCGCGAGCGGCGUCGCCGGCCAUUUGGAGUCGCAUGGAGAGGCUUAACUCGGUGGCCUUGAUAAUCUAGGGCUGCAGCUCUCAAGAACGGAAAGCAUCAUCAUCCCUGUCAGGUGGGCAUAUCUUUUGUGAGGUGAGUAUCUCGUGUUGUGUGUAUGUGGAAGAGUGCUGUGUAUGCUGUGAGAGAUAUAUGGCCAUGAAUGGUUUUGAUGUAGAUCUUUUUCUUGGAAUCAAGUAAUUUUGGAAAGAAGAA